UCAGCAAUUAAAAAAACCCAGAUAUAACCCUUAAUAUCUUUUCCAUCGUUCUUAAAUUAGGUUAGGCCAGUUUAUAUUUGUAAUAAGAUCACUUUGUAAGGAGUAGUACCCACCCGUGAAGAAUGUCUGCGCAUGGUUUUGCCUAUAAGUAGUAACUACACAACAUACUAUAUUGAGUUUUUUUCUAGAAUAGAUCAUUUACUACAUAUUUAUCUAGUAUUCGGUGAUUUUGGUAGAUACUAUAGGUACAUAUGUAAAGCUCAUUCAGAGAAUCUAAAUGAUGUUUACUGA